AUCCUAAUGAACUGUUACAGGUAGGAAGGAAGUGCCCUUAGGAUUUGGGAACAGGAAGUUACUGGAAGCCAGCCCAAGAUGGACCCUGUUGGAGAAGCGGCUCUGAUGCACCAACCGAUAUCGUGCUGGAAAAAUAAGACCCUUCACUGUGAGGAGUUGUUUCCUGGAGUGCCCUGCCUGUCAGCAAAACACCAGGCCCAAAGGAUCCUGCAAGUGCAGCCCUGGAAGAGACAGGAAUAUUCAAAAAUGCACCAGUUCUUGUGAAGCUCAACUGUGUAAAACAUUUAUGGAGCUAAAAUUCUACAGCACUGAGCUGUUGGAUCCCAAAUAAUAUUGGAGGGAGAGGCAGAAAGUCCCACUGCUGCUGGGGCUGAACUGUGUGCAGUGACUGGGCAGGACUUGGCCCUGAUGCCUGAGUGCAUCUUUUAGGAUGGAUCCCAACUGUGAGCCCCUGGCUCCAUAACUUGUUAAGAUGGUGUUCCUGCCAGCCCAGCUGCUGUGUUGGUGGUCCUGUGGGCACCUCUUGCCCUGGCCUGCUGUGAAUGUGUUUGUGUUGCAGCUCAAUAAAGUCCCUUUCAGUGGUGA